GACGAACGCUGGCGGCGUGCCUAAUACAUGCAAGUCGAGCGAAGUUUUUCUGGUGCUUGCACCGGAAAAACUUAGCGGCGAACGGGUGAGUAACACGUAAAGAACCUGCCUCAUAGACUGGGACAACUAUUGGAAACGAUAGCUCAUACCGGAUAACAGCAUUAACUGCAUGGUUGAUGUUUGAAAGUUGGUUUUGCAGGCACUAGGGGAUGGCUUUGCGUGUCAUUAGCUAGUUGGUGGGGUAAAGGCAUACCAAGGCGCCGAUGGGUAGCCGGCCUGAGAGGGUGCCCGGACACGGUGGGACUGCGAUACGGACCAGACUCCUACGGGAGGCAGCAGUGGGGAAUAUUGCACAAGGGGCGGAAGCCUGAUGGAGGAACGCCGCGUGCGGGAUGACGGCCUUCGGGUUGUAAACGGCUGUGGCCUGUGACGAAGCGUGAGUGACGGUAAUGGGUAAAGAAGCACCGGCUAACUACGUG
rnacentral:rRNA from 1 species